UGGUAUAGCUCAGCCGGUAGAGCAGCUGAUUUGUAAUCAGCAGGUCGGGGGUUCGAAUCCG
rnacentral:tRNA from 1 species